AACGAACGCAGGCGGCAUGCCUAAUACAUGCAAGUCGAACGAGACCUUCGGGUCUAGUGGCGCACGGGUGCGUAACGCGUGGGAAUCUGCCCUUGGGUUCGGAAUAACAGUUGGAAACGACUGCUAAUACCGGAUGAUGACGAAAGUCCAAAGAUUUAUCGCCCAGGGAUGAGCCCGCGUAGGAUUAGCUAGUUGGUGAG
rnacentral:rRNA from 1 species